ACGUGUUUUUUUUUUCCAAGUCAGCUGAAGAUUUUCAGAUGUUGCCUUCUGCAUGCACCAAGUAUACUCAUCAGCUAAACUGAAGGACAGCGUGUUUGAGGACUGUUUGAUGUCAGACGUGUGAAUAUACACAUACCAGCUAUAUAUAUACAAGAAGAUAAGAAAAAUAGAGGGAGGUAAGUUGAUUACAUACCUAAAGCAAUACAAAUUUAUUGUUUC
rnacentral:lncRNA from 1 species